ACCUGGCUGGAGUUUGGCGGGGUGCAGCUCCGCGCCGGUGCCGGAGCGGAGAUGCGCCAGCGAGAAGUCGCUGGCUGAGAUGCCUCCCCGAGUUCCAGAGAUAAGAUAAAUAAUUUACUGGAUGGAGAUCUCUGAUUACUCACUCUAUUAGCAUUUAGAGCAAAGAGCUCCAGCCAUCGGGAGCUGAAUUAUUCCAGACGAAGCCCAUCUGGGCUCCUGCUCCCGAGCAAGACCAAGGAGUUCCCAGCAUCCCACACAUACUUGUGGGAUGAUUUGCUCGAAAUCGAAUGGGGUUUACUGGAAAUGCUGGUGAGGUCCCGGCCACUGUAGUAUUUUGAAAAAGGGGAUAAAACACAACCGACAUGCACACCCUAAACUGGGGUGCAGAGCUGUGGCUCAGCCCUCACUCCAGCCAGGAAGGACUCACCACCACUACUGCCUCUUUUAGAUUUACCCAGAACAUAGCACAUCCUCUUUUAGGGGCUGAGACAGCUAAAAACUGAAAAACCCACCUUGGGUUUUACACAGAAAGUGACAUUUUAUUUGGGGAAAAGUGGAGAAUCUGACACAGCAGCUCCAUCCCUUUUUUUAAAAAAAAUGCUUUUAUUUUUUUAAA